CCUUUUGUGUUAGGUGAGCAUAAUUUAUAUUCCUGAAAAUAUGG
rnacentral:antisense_RNA from 1 species